UACGGAGGGUGCAAGCGUUAAUCGGAAUUACUGGGCGUAAAGCGCGUGUAGGCGGUCUUGUAAGUCGGAUGUGAAAGCCCCGGGCUCAACCUGGGAACUGCAUUCGAUACUGCUCGACUAGGGUAUGGAAGAGGGAAGCGGAAUUCCGGGUGUAGCGGUGAAAUGCGUAGAUAUCCGGAGGAACACCAGUGGCGAAGGCGGCUUCCUGGUCCAAUACUGACGCUGAGACGCGAAAGCGUGGGGAGCAAACAGG
rnacentral:rRNA from 1 species